rnacentral:rRNA from 1 species
AUUGAACGCUGGCGGCAUGCCUUACACAUGCAGGUCGAACGGCAGCGCGGGGCAACCUGGCGGCGAGUGGCGAACGGGUGAGUAAUAUAUCGGAACGUACCCUGGAGUGGGGGAUAACGUAGCGAAAGUUACGCUAAUACCGCAUACGAUCUAAGGAUGAAAGUGGGGGAUUCGCAAGAACCUCAUGCUCCUGGAGCGGCCGAUAUCUGAUUAGCUAGUUGGUAGGGUAAAAGCCUACCAAGGCAUCGAUCAGUAGCUGGUCUGAGAGGACGNCCAGCCACACUGGAACUGAGACACGGUCCAGACUCCUACGGGAGGCAGCAGUGGGGAAUUUUGGACAAUGGGCGCAAGCCUGAUCCAGCAAUGCCGCGUGAGUGAAGAAGGCCUUCGGGUUGUAAAGCUCUUUUGUCAGGGAAGAAACGGGUUUUUCUAAUACAGAGAUCUAAUGACGGUACCUGAAGAAUAAGCACCGGCUAACUACGUGCCAGCAGCCGCGGUAAUACGUAGGGUGCAAGCGUUAAUCGGAAUUACUGGGCGUAAAGCGUGCGCAGGCGGUUUUGUAAGACUGUCGUGAAAUCCCCGGGCUCAACCUGGGAAUGGCGAUGGUGACUGCAAGGCUAGAGUUUGGCAGAGGGGGGUAGAAUUCCACGUGUAGCAGUGAAAUGCGUAGAUAUGUGGAGGAACACCGAUGGCGAAGGCAGCCCCCUGGGUCAAAACUGACGCUCAUGCACGAAAGCGUGGGGAGCAAACAGGAUUAGAUACCCUGGUAGUCCACGCCCUAAACGAUGUCUACUAGUUGUCGGGUUUUAAUUAACUUGGUAACGCAGCUAACGCGUGAAGUAGACCGCCUGGGGAGUACGGUCGCAAGAUUAAAACUCAAAGGAAUUGACGGGGACCCGCACAAGCGGUGGAUGAUGUGGAUUAAUUCGAUGCAACGCGAAAAACCUUACCUACCCUUGACAUGGCAGAAAUCCUCGAGAGAUUGAGGAGUGCUCGAAAGAGAAUCUGCACACAGGUGCUGCAUGGCUGUCGUCAGCUCGUGUCGUGAGAUGUUGGGUUAAGUCCCGCAACGAGCGCAACCCUUGUCAUUAGUUGCUACGAAAGAGCACUCUAAUGAGACUGCCGGUGACAAACCGGAGGAAGGUGGGGAUGACGUCAAGUCCUCAUGGCCCUUAUGGGUAGGGCUUCACACGUCAUAC